CCAAUAGCGUAUAUUAAAGUUGUUGCAGUUAAAAAGCUCGUAGUUGAAUUUCGGGAUUGACGUGAUGGUCAUGCCUUAAGGGGUAUGAACUGUCACAGUUGAUUUCUCACCUUCUGGAGAAACUUGAUGUCCUUUAUUGGGUGUCUUGCGGAUCCAGGACCUUUACCUUGAAAAAAUUAGAGUGUUUAAAGCAGGCAUUU
rnacentral:rRNA from 1 species